AAUCAACGCUGGCGGCGCGCCUAACACAUGCAAGUCGAACGAGAAAAUCACCUUCGGGUGGUGAGUACAGUGGCGAACGGGUGAGUAACACGUGGGUUACCUGCCCUCGAGUGGGGAAUAACCCUGGGAAACCGGGGCUAAUACCGCAUACGGUCUACGGACUAAAGCUUUAUGCGCUCGAGGAGGGGCCCGCGGUCGAUUAGUUAGUUGGUGGGGUAAAGGCCCACCAAGACGUCGAUCGAUAGCCGGCCUGAGAGGGCACACGGCCACACUGGCACUGAGACACGGGCCAG
rnacentral:rRNA from 1 species